rnacentral:lncRNA from 1 species
CUAUAAAAGUUCUCCUAUAAUUAUAUUUCCUGUAAACUCACCCAAAAAAGAGUUAUCCAAAGACACCCAAAAAAAUCCUGCCCAAGCGAGACCUUCCCCAGCUCUCUCUCCUCUCCAAUUUUUCAGAUUUCAACGUUCUCUUGGAAUUUUGGUACAAAUGAAGUUUAGCAUAGGUAGAUUUCUCACUUAUAGAGGUCAAUUAAGAAGAAUUUUUCAGAUUUCAACGUUCUCUUGAAAUUUUGGUACAAAUGAAGUUUAGCAUUGGUAGAUUUCUCACUUAUAGAGGUCAAUUAAGAAGAAUUCUUUUGAAGAUAAACUCCUUUCAUUAUACUUCAAUUAAAAAAAUAAUUAUUUUUUUUCGUAGUUUAAUAAUAAAAGGAGUCUAGCCUUUUGUUCCGUUAAAGAGAGUAAAGACUUUUGUUUAGAAAACGUAUAUUUUAUACAAUUUUUUUGGUUUUGGUUUUUUCGAUUUUGAGAAAAAAACAGACAUAAGUUCAUUUCGGUGGUGUUUUGACGUAUGCGGUCUAUCUGUUUUAAUACUUCUUGAUUCUUUUUUUUUUACUUUCAAUUCUGAAUUUUUAUAUAAAAAAAAAUAUUUUUUUUUUUUGAAAGAGAUAUUAAUAAAUUAUGUUCUUAUUUAAUAGAAUUUACUUACUAUAUCGAUAGUUAAAAGUGAUUAUUUGUCUUAUAUAUUUUUAUGAUAAAUCAAAUUACUAAAAAUUACAUUAUAAAUUUUCAAGAAUAAUCUCAAAUAACGAAUAACGUAUAAUUAUCAUCCCUUGAUAUUUUUAAAAAAUAUUAAAAAUUUUGAUUCAUAUUUUUUUUUUUUUAAUAAAAAAUAUAGGUGGGAGUAAAAAAAUUAUAAAAUUUUUUUUUAUAUAAAAUUAAAGGUGAAAGUAAAAGAAAAAAACAAGAAUUAAGGGAAUUAACAAAAAAAUAAAGGGGCUUAUAACAUUUACUAAUUUUUUUUUUUGAUAUAAAAUUCGAUAGUGAAAGUAAAAAAGAAUUAAGGUAUUACAAAAAAGAAUAACGAUAUAUUAAAAAAAGAAUAAAAAGGGUUGAAUCGCAAAUUGUAGUUGAGAAAAUUGAGGAUAACAGUUGAAGUCAAAAAAAAGGUUACAUCCAGGGGGUGGGGUUGUGAGGGGGUGAAAAAAUCAGGUCUCUUAUGUUAGUAUUAGAUUAGAUUAAUUAAUUUAGAUUAAUUAGUUUUCUGAGAAAGUAAUUAAGAACUACCUUAUUUGUGAUUAUUUUUAUUUUUAUUUAUGCUACUGUGAUGAAGAAUCAUCAAAAUUAAUGAAAAUAAAUUAUUAUUAUUUUUUUGCAUAAUGCCUGUGGACACGGACAAUUACUAGUGUGUAAUAAAGAGAAAGUGAUGAACCCAAACGGACGGGUGGAGGUGAUAGUCACUCUACAAAUUUAAAAAAAAAUCUAAUUGUCAAUAUUUUUAAAUUAAACGGUUCGUCACCUCACGCUUCCCCGAGAUCCUAAUUUUAAGGGCCCGUUUGGCACCGCUUUUUCCUGCUUUUUUGGCUUAAAAUAAGCAAAAAAGUCAAUCAGAAGCUUGGCUUUUUGCUUUUCUGUUUUGGCUUUUUUGCUUAGUUUUAGGUAAACUAUAACCCCAAAAGCAAAAAACAAAAAAAUAAUCAAAAAUUCUUAGCCUUUUUGGUGUCAAACUAAAAAAGCUUGGCUUUAGCCUCCCACGGAGCCAAAGCCCUAGGCAUGAAAUGAUGGGGAAAAAAUGAAUGGGGGAAUUUCGUCAUAAACUUUGACAUACCGACACGGCAUGAAAUGAGGGGGAAAAGGCUUGGCCCACGGUCCCCAUAGAGCCUGGUGCAUUCUCAAAAUACCAAAAACGUGCAACAUUUAUAGGACUGUUCUCAGUGUCUCGUCGCACAUGUAAAAUAAGAUACAUUCAAAGAAAAUUAAAAAGAUUUUUAGCAAAAUAAUUUUAUUAUAAUAUUAAGGUAAUAAUUUUUGUAAAUAAAUAUCAAAUGUGUAAUAAAGAGAAAGUGAUGGACUCAAAGGGACGGUAGAGGUGAUAGUCACUCUACAACUUUUAAAAAAUCUAACUAUCAAUAUUUUUAAAUUAACACCUCACGCCUGCCUUCCCGAUAUUCUAAUUUUAAAGAACUUAGGGCAUGUUUGAUUACCUGGAUUAGGCGGGACUGGACUAUGAGUCCAAUCUAGUCCCGCAUUUGUUUUUUCAAAAUAGCUCCGGACUACUAGUCCAAAAAGACCAAAUAGUCCCCGAUACAUAGGACAAGGAGACCUUGGGUGUUUCUUGGUUUUGUUAGUCCGCCAAGUAAUUCAAGAACUACUUAAUCAAUCCGGGUAAUCAAACAAGCCCACAUAUCUCUAUGUCUCAUCAUCCUAUGAGAGGUGUAAAGAUGACGGACUCGUACAAAAGCUAGCAGAUGCUCGUAGGAGGUUAUAAAGAUCUUGGGAAAAUAAAAAAAAAAGUUGUUGACCUCAGUAAGGAAGUAAUUUUUAUAGUUUUAAUUACAUCCAAUUAAAUUCAAUAAACCUAACUAGUCUUUAAAAAAUAAAAAUAAACUUUAAACGCGAUCAGUCUGUAAUCGGGGGGAUGCAACCAGAGAUCACUUUGUUUUCAUCACAAAUCAAAAAAUAAUUUUACACUUUAACAUUAACUUGAAAAUUAGUCAUAAUUGCAUCAAUGAAGGUUUUAAAGAGUGACAACUUUCAAAUACAUCAUUUUUUUUAAAAAAAAUUACAAAAAUCAAUUGAUUUUGUCUAGCCUACUGAAACAGUGACGGACAAAGGUUUUUAAUUGUUUCAAGAUCAAAACUUUAACUAAUUUCUAAAAGAAUUUUUUAGCAAAAUAAUUUUUUAUAAAUCUUAGCUAAUUGUUUUUUUCUUACAAAAAUAUCAAAUGUGUAAUUGAAAUCAUAAAUAAUUAAACGUAAGUUUUAAUUUGUUAUUGAUGUCAAACCUAAGUUUUUUUUUGUAAUUUUCCCCAAAGAUAAAUGAUGCUACUUGCUUUUUUUUUCCUUAAAAAUAGCAAAUAUGGAAUAUAACAAAGUCUUCUCUGUCUCGUCGUUCUGCUGGAUGACAACAGUUGACACAUGAAGCACAGAUAAAGAAUGUUUAACAAAUAUCUUUUUUGAAAAUGUUAGCUAUUGUUUUUCUUAGAAAAAAUAUCAAGUGUGUAAAUAUAUAUUAUAUAUAUUAUAUAUAUAUAUAUAUAUAUAUAUAUAUAUAUAUAUAUAUAUUUUUUUUUUUUUUUUCUACUAUAAUCGAUAAUAUAUACACGUAUGUAUCGAGGAAUGGGGGCUAGGGGCGAUCACACAUCAAAGUUAAAUCCGAAUUUCUAGUAACAUUAACCACCACAAAUAUUUUUAAAUUAUAAAAUUAAAAUUAGUGUAUAAAUUUUAUACAUGAGAUACAAAUUUCAUGGUUUGUAUGUACAUUUGCUUCCUCAAAAUUAUAAAAUUCCAUGAGAUAUAAAUGCACAUGUCCCCUAUCUGUCUCGUCAUUAUGACCGGCAGUUGAACCAUGAUACAUAAGGCUAGAAAGAUUUUUAACAAAAUAAAUUUGAAUAAAUUUCAUUGACAUCUCUUAAAAAAAAAUAUCAACACACCAUUAAACUUAAUGGAUAUUAUCUUUUUUCUCAAAAUAAAUCUACUUGUUUAGAUUUUCUAAUGAAAUCAAUUAUUUUUAAUUAAAAAUAUGAAAGCCCUAAAUUUAAGGACAAUGUCGUCAUUUCUAAAAAAAAAACUAGUGGGGAGAAUGUUGAUAAGUAAAAAAAAAAAGAUUUUGCUGGUUUAAAAAUUAUAAGGAAGGUGAUUGUAAAAGUUAGUUAAUUGUUUUUCUUAAAAAAUAUCAAAUGUGUAAUAUAAAUAUCAAAUAUUUUUUAAUGAAUAAUUUUUAAAAUUAUAUUAUUUUUUUCUUCACAUUAAUAGAUUAAAAAAGUAAAAUGAAAAAAAAACACUAUAAAAGUUCUCCUAUAGUUAUACUUCCUGUAAACUCACCCAAAAAAGAGUUAUCCAAAGAAUCCAAAAAAAAUCCGCCCAAGCGAGACCUUCCCCAGCUCUCUCUCCUCACCAAUUUUUCAGAUUUCAACAUUCUCUUGGAAUUUUGGUACAAAUGAAGUUUAGCAUUGGUAGGUUUCUCACUUAUAGAGGUCAAUUAAAGAGACUUUCUUUGAAGAUGAACUUCUCCUAUUAUUAGGAGUGUCAACGGUCCGGAUUGAUCCGGAUUGGUAUGAAUUCAAGACCGAAUCAAAAGUCUACGGUUUAAGAAAAUACAAUCCGUAUGUAGACCAAAAAUCUACGGUUCGAUUUCGAAAAAAUCAAAAAAUUCACGAUUCGGAUCAUGAUUAAUUCACGGGUUAUUACAUUCAACGAAAUUAAAAAAAAUAUUUCAUGGUAGCCAUAUAACAAACUGCAUUAAAAAAGAACAAGUAGCACUAAAACACAAAUUGAAAAAGUAUAAACUAA